GGCCGCGUUUGGGUUGUUUGGAAGUCGCCUGGGCUACUUUUGAUUACGUAUCAUUCGCUGAAAAGGCUUUCUCAUUUUCCGGCUCUCUGGGCUCUUUCUCAGUGGCUCUGUUGCUCAAACUCUGGUCCUUUCUUCUCCGGGUUUUUCUGUCAUGGUGGCGGCAGAGGUAGAGAGAGAACAGAAGAGGAAGGGAAUUCGGAAGCCUCCCUCGAGUUGCUAAAGCGCACACUAGAAGGGUAGGAGGAGAGCAUGUCCUUUCGCGGCGGAGGAGGCCGCGGCGGCUAUACUCGCGGUGGUUUUAAUCGAGGCGGCGGCGGCCACUACAGAGGAGGAGGGCGAGGCGGUGAUCGCGGAGGUGGCCGAGGAGGACGAGGCAGUGAUCGCGGCGGCUUUGGUCGUGGAGGUUUCGGCCGAGGAGGGGGUGGUCGUGGAGGCUUCCAGAAGGGAGGCUACAACGAGGGACCCCCAGAAAAUGUGGUCGUGUUAGGAGAAUUCUUGCAUCCCUGUGAAGAUGACAUUGUUUGCAAAUGCAUAACACAUGAAAAUAAAGUGCCUUAUUUCAACGCUCCAGUUUAUUUAGAAAACAAAGAACAGAUUGGUAAAGUGGAUGAGAUAUUUGGACAGCUUAGAGAUUUUUAUUUUUCAGUUAAACUGUCAGAAAACAUGAAGGCCUCCUCUUUUAAAAAAUUACAAAAGUUUUAUAUUGACCCAUAUAAACUGCUGCCCCUGCAAAGAUUCUUACCUCGGCCACCAGGUGAAAAAGCACCUCCAAGAGGUGGUGGUGGUAGAGGGGGAGUAAGAGGAGGAAGGGGUGGAGGAAGAGGCGGAAGAGGUGGAGGAGGCAGAGGUGGUAAGUUUCUUGUCAUAAUUGCACUCAUAAGAAUGGGAGAUGGGAAAAUCUUUAGAAAUGGGGGGAUUAUGUAUUUAAAAAUAGGACAAAUAGACUUAAAAGUCAAAAUAUUUACCUUCUCUACUUGAAUAAAAAUUUAGCAAAAUUCUAGAAUAAUUAUAAUGAUAACAAAAUUCUAGAGUAUAAUGGCAAAGAAAUUUCUACUUAAACUAAUAUCCAUUUUCUCAAGUUGGGGAGAAGAUAUUUUUACUUUAAUAAAUUUUAAUACUACUACUUAAUAAAUUGAAUAUUUGAAACUGCCAUUAAUUACAUAAAUUUUCAAAUGGAUUAGUGUCUAUGUAAAUUUGGUCACUUGAUUGGUAGUAGCAUUUUAGUCUUUUAAAAGAGAAGAAUAAAUGAGGUAUUCUUUUUGUCCCCUACUACUUCCUACUAAAAGUUUUUGUUUUGAGCUGUACUGAUUUUUUUCCCCAUGAGACUGCUAUAAAGUCAUGUAGACUAUUAGUUUAUUUUUUUCUUAUAUAUAGCUAACUCUUGAUUUAUUAAUUUUUUUAAAUGUGUGGACUAUAUAUAACUUUUUAAUGUUUUAUACAAAUUAUAUACUCUGUAUAAAAUAUCUUCUUAGAUUUUAAAAGUUUGCCAGUCUUUUAAAAAAAUGCAUGAGGCCUAAAGAAAUUUUUUUUCUUCUUUUUUUCCCCCUUUAUUUUCAAAGAACUUAAGAGUUUUUUUGCUCUUUAAAAUUCAAGUUUGUUUUCUUAAGUCUUAGGGGCUGGGUUAAAUAACUACUUUUAAAUACCCACUUUAUGAGUGAAUUGUUCAAAAUGUAAGGCAGUUUGAAACUCAACUUUUUACCCAAAACAUUGUUAUAGAUGAUCAUUAAAUGUUAUAGAUGAUCAUUACUUUCUGGGACAAAACCCUCAAGGUUUAUUCAGCUAUUAAGAAACUGAAUAAGAAUAAAUGUAGAGUUAUCUCCAUUUAAGUGGAAAAGUAAAUACUAAUAAAAGCACACAUUUGCUAUGUAAGGGUUAGAUUCUAAAUUCACUUCUAAGUAAAAAAACAAAAUCACAUGUCAAAUUUGAAUAAGUAGCUGAAAAUUCAAUGGUACCUGAAUUUUACUUUAAAUUCUCAAUGUUUUUGGAAGACAAUGAAUUUUCUUUAACAAAUAUUCUUUUAGAUAUGAAUUAAUAAUGUCUUCACCCUCCAGCCCCAUGCUGGGAAUGGUAGAAUUGUUCACUUGAAGGUCUGCAGUGGGAAGGGUAAUGCUUCUGGACCAUAGCCAUAGAUUGCCCUACUAAGGAAUUACAGUGAGAUCAACAUCUGAGACCUGGGAAGUUGUUACAGAGAAGAGCCAUUGUCUGAUGCUGCUCAGUGGUUCUAUGUAUACAACUGUGUACAUAGAUUUCUCUCUUUCCAAACCUCUAUUCCCUCCCCCACUUUACAUGUGUAUUUGAGUCAGUUUCAUUGUAUAUAAGAAGGGAUCUGAGGCAAGACAACAAAAUGGGAUUGAGGAGUAAUAAAGAAUAGAAUGAUCUUGUGGUGAGGAGAUAGAACUGUGUCUAGAAAGGGGCAAACUAUCUGGAGUCUGACUUUCCUCUUGGUACUGUCAAAUUAUCGCAUUUCUAAGUCAGGUUUCUUUAUGUAACACUUCUUGCUUUUCAGAUUUUAAAUUUUAAGAAAUAUUGAGUGGUUACCAUUAUGGUUUGUUCUUUUUUUUUUUUUUUUUUUUAAUACAGAUGAGUUUCUGUAAAGUGGGUCCCAUUUUAAUUUAGAUUGACUUUUAUCCAAGCCAUGCUGUAUCUUCAAAUAGUUAAUUGAAACAGGAUCAACAGUUCUGUGAGAACAUGAGCUAGGUCAAUAGCUAGAAAAGAUUUGGAUCACUGUCAGGAAUGCAGAUGGGGAUAGGGAUUUAAAUGACUUAACAGCACACAAUGGUAGUAAAUGAUGAAAUUAGUUUUUGAGCAUCUGUCUUCUAAUUUCAGCAGAUUUUUUUUCCCCUUGUUGUUCUACUUGGCUCUCCAUAAUCUAGGACUCUCUAGGUGCAUUUUAAUAUUUUUAAUGAAAGUUAGGUUUAAAAAAAAAAAAAGUUGUGGGUACUGUUGAGAUUUUUAUUUGUAAUCAAGCAGGAGUUGUUCUUGUGCCCCUCUCAUUACUUGAUAUAAUGCUUUACACUUAUUCAGGUCUUCAAAUAUGAUUGAAUAAUGAUCUUGGAGGACUGACAAGAGAGCAAGUGAUAGCUAGAAGAAAGUUAAUCAAGAUGGUUAAGGGUGGGGUUGGAAGAAGUAAAAGUGGUGAGAUUCUUCAAGUAGAGUCUGUAAACAAAGACUGUGCAUAAUUAAUAAGGGUGGUAAUAUCCAAAGUAGAGAGGGAGAAGAAAGAAAAAUGGCUUUGUUGAAUUGUGAGUUAAGAUUUGUGAAAUCUCCUUACAAAGUAAGAGGAAGUGAGUAGACAAGGCCCUGAUUCUUUUCUUAGCAUAAAUCACUUUACUUCUUCACUUCCUUUAUCCUUAUCUCUUUUUUCAUCUCUCCCUGACUUGGCUGACAUUCAUCUACACAAUUGUCAUCCCUCCACAGAGUUCCAUACCUGGGAGCUGCCCACAGCAAUAAAAUCUGAAAUAUCCUGCAGCAUGCAACCCCUCCCCUCUGCUCCCAUUAAAUUUUGAGGUAUACUUUGCAGCAUCUAACUUUUUUGGUGUCGACAAUCUGCCAUUCUUUUUUGCUCAAGACCUUGAGUUUUUUUCCCCAGCACUAUUUUGAUACUGUGGACAUCUAAGUUGCCAAAUGCCCUUUUCACCUUUGCAAAUUUUCUUCCCUCGAAGUAUAUUGUCUAUUUUUCCUCUGUCCUUCUCUAUUAAAUGUACUAAAUAUAACCCUUAUUCAUAUUUUACACUCUUAAUGGGAGAUUUAAUUUAUUCUUAAUCUAUGCUGAAGAUCCUUUAAAUGAAAUCUUUAUUUUUUACCUCUCUCCCAGGCUUUAGUUUCAUAUCUCAUAAAAGUUUGUUCAUCUUCUCUUCUGCUUGAAAUUUCUAUUGUUAACCUAUUUCAGACCUAGAAGUGAACUUAACUUCUCCUCUUAUAGUGUCUGCAUUGAUAUCCUUUCUCAAUUUGUGUCAGGGCAUCACUGGUCUGCAUUGAAAACAGCAUUUUAUUUAAUCUUUUUUCCUUCAAAUUUAGUAAUCAGGUAGAUUCUUGUCUAUCAUUUCAUUAUUGCCACUAUCUAUCACCUCAUUCUUAGAUUGAAUACUUCAGUAUCUUUCUAAUUAAUAUCCUUGUUCUUAUUUAGCUCCCACUUACCAGUGAGCUCUCUACCAUCCAAACAACUUUCCAUUUAAUUUUAAGAUUUCCUAUAUUGUCUUUACCUUCAAAUUACUACCCAUUACCAAACAGAUAGUUUAAAUUUCUCAGACUAGCAUUCAAGGCUCUUGAUACAUUUGUCUUACUCCAUUUAACUAAGUAUAUCUUCCAUUGAUCUCUUUUAUAUACAGUGUUUAUUUUAGCCAGAAGAGUAUCCUUAUGAUUACAGAAAAUAGAUUCAUAAUGCGUUCAGGGUCUAAAGUCUAGUUAAAAAAUUAAUCUUUGCAAGUAAUUUUUAAAUAUUUCAGAGCUACUUUGAUUUUGUCACUAAUACUCCCCCAGCCUUUAUAAUUUACAACACAAAUUUUAACAUCACAUCUGAUUGUUAUGCAUAGUUUAUCUCUUAGACUAAAUUCUUUACUAAAGAAUCUAAAAACAAGUUUCUAUCUGUAGUUUAAGACUUUUUUUUAAGCUUUAGCUUUAUGUAGUGAUAGGAUUACUGUCACAUUCUUCUUUUUAGUUUUGGUUUCCUCAUAAUGUGAUGGUUUGUAGUUAUUAUAUAAUAAGCUAACUUUUGUAUUGUGUAUGUGUGCGUGUGCACAUGCAUGCAUGUGUGCUUUUCCCUCAGGUGGUUUUAGAGGUGGAAGAGGUGGUGGAGGCUUUAGAGGAGGACGAGGAGGUGGUGGCUUCAGAGGUAGAGGACGUUAAGUGGAACUCGUGGCAAGUAAACAUCACCAGUUGGCUUUUUGAAUCAUCUUCAGAAUUAAGGAAUUAUUUCUUCUGUGGAUCUGAAGUUUUGUUUGUUUUUUUUUAAAGCAAGUACAAAUCUAAGGAACUGGUCACUUUAUGACUGUGUUAACUGUCACUACACCAUGCAAAAUGAAUGCAAAGGAUGAUACAGUUUUGCUCCAGAAGAGCAUGGACUAAAUCUUUUAUAUAUUUUGUACGAUGCUCAGCACUCUGUGGGUGCUUAAUAAAUGUUCAGUAAUACUUUUGUUGUAAUUUGAAGUUUUUAAAUAUGAAAAUUUAACUUUUCUUAGUUUUAAAAUUGGUAACUUGUUACUGUGGCUUAACUUCAUUUUUGAAGGUCAAAUGCCCACUGAAUGAAUUUUUAAAAGCUUUAGCAGUCCAAACAUAAAUAUAAUUGCAUAAUCAGUUCUCAACUUUCUAGUUGGAACUGCACUAGUGCUAUGGUAUAGUGCUUAUGAACUAUGUCAAAUGGACUCUUUACAAAUAAAUACCAAUUGUAUAUGGGAAUAUUAGCACUUUUUAAAUGAUUGUACUCUCUAUAUAACAGCAAUUGUAAUUCCUUUAUUUUGGGCAGUAAGAAACUUAUAAAACUAUAUAGGUGGAGAGAAGUUUGUUGAUUGAUACUUUAGUCAGAAAAUUUGAGAAAUAAGUAUGGAAAUUUGGGUUACUUAGUUCAGUUGUGUUUUGGUUGGACAUUAAACACCAUUCUAUAUGUCUAUAAUUAAUUCAAUUUGAAGCCUGAAAUACUUGGAAUUUUUAUUUGAGUGCUCUUUAUUUAAUUCUAAUUGGGAAUUCAAAGGUUUAAAAUGCCCAUGAGUUGCUAAGACUACUGUUAAUGGUUGAAGGUGAGCUUUGAAGAUCUAUAGAAAAUUGAAUUAAAAGACUCUGGUCAUUUAUGAAAAUUAUGUUAAUUAAGUUAAACAAAUAGAAAAUGCAGAAAUAAUUGCAUGAAAUACUGGUUUCUAAUAAGUCUUCUUUUAGAAUUUUUAUAUGCACAUGUGCUCUUUUAAAUCAGUGGUCCCUAUUGGUUUCUCAUGAGUGCUUCUAAUAAACUAUUCCAGUUGCUCACAUAUUAGCAGGAAAACAGUUUUACAUUCUCCCACUACACCAAAUUUUUUUUCUCAUAUUUGUUUUGAAAGAUAUUAUUAAUAUAAUAAUGCCUUGGGCAAAGUAUGUAAUCCCAUGUAACCUAUUCUUGAGUAAUAUUUUAUUAUUGAUAUGAGUACUACUUAAAAUUCUAGUUAUUCUAGCAUAUUGGUUAGUACUCUGAAGAAAAUAUUUUUGGAGGGUCUUUCCUCAGUUAAUCAAGCUGUCAAUGUGAUUUCACUUUUUAGGGCUUUGACAAAGUAGAGUUUGUUUUUUGAGUAGGAAAGGUGCUGUUGGAUUUAAUUAUCACUUUGCUAUUAGAAUAAAAAUUUCAGCAAGAAUUAA